rnacentral:rRNA from 1 species
UACGAAGGGGGCUAGCGUUGCUCGGAAUUACUGGGCGUAAAGGGCGCGUAGGCGGCACUGUUAGUCAGGCGUGAAAGUCCUGGGCUCAACCUGGGAACUGCGCUUGAUACGGCAGAGCUAGAGGAUGGAAGAGGGUCGCGGAAUUCCUAGUGUAGAGGUGAAAUUCGUAGAUAUUGGGAAGAACACCGGUGGCGAAGGCGGCGACCUGGUCCAUUACUGACGCUGAGGCGCGACAGCGUGGGGAGCAAACAGG